rnacentral:rRNA from 1 species
CGGCAACAGCUCAGAUUUGAAAUCUGGCCCCUCCGGGGUCCGAGUUGUAAUCUGUAGAGGAUGCUUUUGGCGACGCGCCUUCCGAGUCCCCUGGAACGGGGCGCCAGAGAGGGUGAGAGCCCCGUAUGGUCGGACGCCGAACCUUUGUAAAGCUCCUUCGAC